rnacentral:rRNA from 1 species
UACGUAGGGAGCAAGCGUUGUUCGGAUUUACUGGGCGUAAAGGGCGCGCAGGCGGCGUGUCAAGUCGAUUGUGAAAUCUCCGGGCUUAACUCGGAACGGCCAAUCGAUACUGACGUGCUAGAGUGCAGAAAGGGCAAUCGGAAUUCUUGGUGUAGCGGUGAAAUGCGUAGAUAUCAAGAGGAACACCUGAGGCGAAGGCGGGUUGCUAGGCUGACACUGGCGCUGAGUGCGCGAAAGCCAGGGGAGCAAACGGG